UUAUGCACAUGAAUCCAUAUUUUGGUUCAUACUUAGAUAUGGCAUUAAAAUAUGUACGGGGUGAUCUGGAUAUGACAGAGUAUAUAUGAAGGUUGUGAGUAGGUCAACAUGAAAUCGAUCACUCCUAGUAAGAGGAGAUCGCAUCCUAUGUAUUCUAAUUCUUAGAUGACUCAGAAAAAAUCUUUUGAUCAAAAGUAGGAAGGAGAUUAGAAAGAAUUUCUAAUGCUCUUCAUUGGAGUCAUCAUUAGUUAAUUGAGAAUCGAUAUGAAUAUGUGUUUGAGUUUGACAUGGUUCCAUACUCAUGAAUAUAUUCAGGAUGCAGGGA
rnacentral:lncRNA from 1 species